AUAAUGGGUCAGCGACUUAUAUUCUGUAGCAAGGUUAACCGAAUAGGGGAGCCGAAGGGAAACCGAGUCUUAACUGGGCGUUAAGUUGCAGGGUAUAGACCCGAAACCCGGUGAUCUAGCCAUGGGCAGGUUGAAGGUUGGGUAACACUAACUGGAGGACCGAACCGACUAAUGUUGAAAAAUUAGCGGAUGACUUGUGGCUGGGGGUGAAAGGCCAAUCAAACCGGGAGAUAGCUGGUUCUCCCCGAAAGCUAUUUAGGUAGCGCCUCGUGAAUUCAUCUCCGGGGGUAGAGCACUGUUUCGGCAAGGGGGUCAUCCCGACUUACCAACCCGAUGCAAACUGCGAAUACCGGAGAAUGUUAUCACGGGAGACACACGGCGGGUGCUAACGUCCGUCGUGAAGAGGGAAACAACCCAGACCGCCAGCUAAGGUCCCAAAGUCAUGGUUAAGUGGGAAACGAUGUGGGAAGGCCCAGACAGCCAGGAUGUUGGCUUAGAAGCAGCCAUCAUUUAAAGAAAGCGUAAUAGCUCACUGGUCGAGUCGGCCUGCGCGGAAGAUGUAACGGGGCUAAACCAUGCACCGAAGCUGCGGCAGCGACGCUGAUGCGUUGUUGGGUAGGGGAGCGUUCUGUAAGCCUGUGAAGGUGUACUGUGAGGUAUGCUGGAGGUAUCAG
rnacentral:rRNA from 1 species